rnacentral:rRNA from 1 species
AUUGAACGCUGGCGGCAUGCCUUACACAUGCAAGUCGAACGGCAGCACGGGUGCUUGCACCUGGUGGCGAGUGGCGAACGGGUGAGUAAUACAUCGGAACGUACCUUAUCGUGGGGGAUAACGCAGCGAAAGUUGCGCUAAUACCGCAUACGCCCUGAGGGGGAAAGCGGGGGACCGUAAGGCCUCGCGCGAUUAGAGUGGCAGAUGUCUGAUUAGCUUGUUGGUGGGGUAAAAGCUCACCAAGGCGAUGAUCAGUAGCUGGUCUGAGAGGACGAUCAGCCACACUGGGACUGAGACACGGCCCAGACUCCUACGGGAGGCAGCAGUGGGGAAUUUUGGACAAUGGGGGCAACCCUGAUCCAGCAAUGCCGCGUGAGUGAAGAAGGCCUUCGGGUUGUAAAGCUCUUUUGUCAGGGAAGAAACAGCAGCUCUAACACAGUCUGCGAAUGACGGUACCUGAAGAAUAAGCACCGGCUAACUACGUGCCAGCCGCCGCCGUAA